rnacentral:rRNA from 1 species
UACGGGGGGGGCAAGCGUUGUUCGGAAUUACUGGGCGUAAAGGGUUCGUAGGUGGCCAACUUAGUCAGACGUGAAAUCCCUCAGCUUAACUGGGGAACUGCGUCUGAUACUGGAUGGCUCGAGUGCAGGAGAGGAACGCGGAAUUCCAGGUGUAGCGGUGAAAUGCGUAGAUAUCUGGAAGAACACCAGUGGCGAAGGCGGCUCACUGGACCGGUAUUGACGCUGAGGUGCGAAAGCGUGGGGAGCAAACAGG